AGGAGAAUAGGGAAUUAGGGUAACCAAGGGUUAAGGCAUAAGCAAAGGAACAGCAGGUGCAGCCAGUUCUAGGCAAGAUUAGGCAGCAUACAGGCCACAACCUCACUCCUGUGAUAACAAAACGGAAGUUUCCACUUCAGCCUCUGAUUGGUUGGGGGCCCAUCCAUCAUAGCGGGUAACCAAUUGGAGGCCUCUAAAGGGAAUCUAGGGGUGUUACCAAAUUAUUUCAGCUUAACAAAAACCCCAAAGAACAUUCUAAAUGGGGCUCUUGAGCUGCUUCGUUGAUCGAGCCAACUCUCACUCUAUAGAGUGUACUUUCACUUCAAUAAACCUGCACUUUCGUUGCUUCCUUCCUUUGUUGCUUUGUGCAUUUUAUUAAAUCCUUUGUCCAACACGCCAAGAACCUGGACAACUCACAGUCACGACUUCCUAUCUGGUAAAGAAGUAGCUGAGGGAAACGCAGCUUUGUGAGGGAAGCCUGGAGCGUGAGAAAUCUGCUCACACUGGAUUCUGCCUCGGGCUCGACAGAAUGUCACAGCAGACCCGCGAUGUGACAGGCUCACUGGUGUACACACGGCUGUGUCGGCCAUGGCCCUGUCAGCUACCCUGAAGCUUCAGAUCUACUUCCUGGCUCAGACCACCUGCAACACACUGGUUUGGCAUCUAGCGGGUUGUGCUUGCAGAACAGCAGGCUGGCUCCGUGCACCUGCUCAGUGGGGCUGGGCUUUAGCAACCUGCAUUGAGGCUGCUCUUCUUAACUUUUCUCUAACUUGCUUCAUGAAAGUUAAUUCUGCUGGGACCCCACGAGGCAGCGGAGAGCCCACUCUGCCCAUGAUUGGUGCCCUGGGCUGGCACGCAGAGUUUAAUGGAGGAGCCCGGGAGAGAGGGAUGCCUGAGAACCAGGGAUGUGGGCUGGAGCAGUGCCACCUCCUCUAACUCACCCGCAAGCCCAGCCAACCGGCUAAACCUUCCCCACAGAGCCUCAGUCUCCUUAUCUGUAAAAUGGAUUACCUGGCACUUGUCCAGUCUUUCUGCAGUCAACAUCGCCCAGAUUCCAUGCAGAACCCUUUGCAGACUCCUGAGGAGGUACAGACAAGGAGUGUCCCUGUCCUCAUGGUGCUACAUGAAAAGGGAAAUGAUCACAGCUGUGGCGAUUGUGUGUCUCCUACUGGUGAGAGCUGGUAACUACAGCAUCUAAUUGGCCGUUUUCCAGACCUCUGCAGGGGAUCAGGACAGCAUAGUGUGUCCUCUGUCUUGAGAAGUUCGCAUCCAGCUCUGCCAUGGACCAGCCAUGCUCAUGGAUUGCCUCUCAUUUUGCUACGGACAGGAGACAGGAAAAUACUGGGUAGAAGAGGGCGGUUCCCGACAAAGGCCCCAACCUCAAGCCUGAAGACCCACGACCCUAAAUGAGGACAGCCAUUUCUGAUUUUGUGCCCAAAAAUUUGCCUUUUGGCCUGCCACACCCAACAUCUUGCCCCUAUAUAAACCCGAGACCUUAGCGGGCACACACACAAUCAGCCAAAUGUUGGGAUUAGCAGACCAGUGGACCAGCGGACCAGCAGACCAGUUAACGGUGGAACAACGCAGCAGAGAAAGAGAGAAGAGGAGGGAUGUCUGAAUGCCAAGGGGAAUUCGGCCGCGGGCAGUUAGAAAAGUCUGGCUGCUGGGCGGCCCGACUCUAGGGGAAGACCACCUUCCCACUCCAUCCCCUGUUCUGGCUCCCCAUCCAUCUCCCUGAGAGCCACCUCUACCACUCAAUAAAACCUUUCAUUCAUCCUUUGAGCCCAUAUGUGAUUUGAUUCUUUCAGGACGCUCAGCAAGAGCUCAGAAUAUAG
rnacentral:lncRNA from 1 species